rnacentral:rRNA from 1 species
AGUGAACGCUGGCGGUAGGCCUAAUACAUGCAAGUCGAGCGGCCGGACAGUAAGAUCUUUCUCUUACCGUUGGCGAGUGGCGGACGGGUGAGGCAUACAUCGGCAUCUACUUUUUCGUGGGGGACAACGUAGGGCCGCUUACGCUAAUACCGCAUACGAUCUACCGCAUAAAUCAGUAGAUCUUCGCACCUUUCCCGUUUCAUUUAGCCGGUGUCGGAUUAGCUAGUUGGCGAGGUAAAGGCCCACCAAGGCGACGAUCCGUAGCUGGUCUGAGAGGAUGAUCAGCCACACUGGAACUGAGACACGGUCCAGACUCCUACGGGAGGCAGCAGUAGGGAAUAUUGGACAAUGGGCGCAAGCCUGAUCCAGCAAUACCGCGUGGGUGAAGAAGGCCUUCGGGUUGUAAAGCUCUGUUAUUGGGGAAGAAAAGCAGUGUAUGAAUAUACCGCUGUUCUGACGGUACCCAAUCAGAAAGCACCGGCUAACUUCGUG